rnacentral:rRNA from 1 species
UUUAUAAAUUCUAUAUAUAAUGAACAGUUGACUGAUAGUGCACAAAGUACUGUGAAGGAACUAAUGAAACUGGACUAUAGAGAUUUAUCUUCUCUUUAAACUGCUACUCAUUUUUAUUUAACCUUUUUGUGCCUUCCACCCAAGCGUGAGCAUGAGCACAUUACAUUUUUCCCAGUGGAUUUAUAUGCACUGCUCU